UGGUGGUGGGAAUAUUGGCACAAUGGGGGGGAACCCUGAUGCAGCAACGCCGCGUGGAGGAUGACACAUUUCGGUGCGUAAACUCCUUUUAUAUAGGAAGAUAAUGACGGUACUAUAUGAAUAAGCACCGGCUAACUCCGUGCCAGCAGCCGCGGUAAU
rnacentral:rRNA from 1 species